rnacentral:rRNA from 1 species
CGGGUUGUAAAGCACUUUAGUUGGGGAGGAAGGUAUGUAUUUUAAGAGAUAACAUGCUUGACUGUACCCAAAGAAUAAGCACCGGCUAACUCUGUGC